UACGUAGGGGGCCAGCGUUGCUCGGAAUUACUGGGCGUAAAGGGUUCGUAGGUGGUGCGGCAAGUUGGAAGUGAAAUCUCUGGGCUUAACCCAGAGGCUGCUUUCAAAACUGCCGUGCUCGAGUGCGAGAGAGGCCAGUGGAAUUGCAGGUGUAGCGGUGAAAUGCGUAGAUAUCUGCAGGAACACCCGUGGCGAAGGCGGCUGGCUGGAUCGCAACUGACACUGAGGAACGAAAGCUAGGGGAGCAAACAGGAUUAGAUACCCUGGUAGUCCUAGCCCUAAACCAUCGGAACUUGGGGUGGCCCGCGUAGGCGGGUCGUCCCGUAGCUAACGCGUUAAGUUCCGCGCCUGGGGAGUACGGUCGCAAGACUGAAACUCAAAGGAAUUGACGGGGGCCCGCACAAGCGGUGGAACAUGUGGUUCAAUUCGACGCAACGCGAAGAACCUUACCUGGGCUUGAACCGCUACUGACCAACGGUAGAAAUAUCGUCUUCCCGCAAGGGACAGUAGUAGAGGUGCUGCAUGGCUGUCGUCAGCUCGUGCCGUGGGGUGUUGGGUUAAGUCCCGCAACGAGCGCAACCCUUACUCGUAGUUGCUACCCGCAAGGGAGAACUCUACGAGGACUGCUCCGGAUAACGGAGAGGAAGGUGGGGAUGACGUCAAGUCAGCACGGCCUUUAUGUCCAGGGCUACACACGUGUUACAAUGCACGGUACAGACUGUUGCGAACCCGCGAGGGGGAGCUAAUCGGCCAAAACCGUGCUCAGUUCGGAUUGCAGUCUACAACUCGACGUGCAUGAAGCUGGAAUCGCUAGUAAUGGCGCAUCAGAUCGGCUCAGUGAUACGUUCCCG
rnacentral:rRNA from 1 species